CAACUAUUCGACCCACCAUUGAGUUAAAGAUUACAAGCAAAUGGAUCAUUCACUUCCUCUUGAGCACACACAGUUCCCAGCGUCUUCACUAUACGAUCUUGUGGUUGAAACAAUCCCUGGAUGUUUUGCUUUCCCCCAGGGAUUCAAGACGAUCAAGGUCAGAGUCACCGUAUAUCUGAGGAAACCACCCGACAGUCCCUCACCAUCCUGUCUUCUUCACAGAGUCUGACCAGAUGGCUGCUGCUGAGAGACGUUAUAUUCCAGCUAUGCAUUUCAUACUGUUUCAAUAAACAUUGCUUUGACCUUUA